AUGUUGGAUACAAAAUUCGGUUUCCCUCCCUCCUCCCCCGCAGCCGCGCCCCCAUCCCGAGCCCCGGCCACAGGCGCAGCGCCGAAUCUCAAGCGGAGGAGAGAGGGCGAGGACGCCGACGCCGACGCCGACAUGAGGGAGGAGGCGGUGGAGCGGCUGCGCGGGGUGGUGCGGGACAGCGUCGGGAAGCACCUCUACACGUCCGCCAUCUUCCUCGCGGACAAGGUGGCCGCGGCCACGGGCGACCCCGCCGACGUCUACAUGCUCGCGCAGGCGCUCUUCCUCGGCCGCCACUUCCGCCGCGCGCUCCACGUGCUCAACAACUCCCGCCUCCUCCGCGACCUGCGCUUCCGGUUCCUCGCCGCCAAGUGCCUCGAGGAAUUGAAAGAAUGGCACCAGUGUCUGAUGAUGCUUGGUGAUGCCAAAGUUGACGAACAUGGCAAUGUUCUUGAUCAGGAUGAUGGCAGUGACAUCUAUUUUGAUAAGGACGCAGAAGAUCACGAGAUCAAUAUCAAAUCAGCUAUAUGUUUCUUACGUGGCAAGGCGUAUGAAGCACUGGAUAAUCGUGAUCUUGCUCGGCAAUGGUACAAGGCAGCAGUUAAAGUUGAUCCGUUAUGUUAUGAGGCUCUUGAAUGCCUUGUUGAUAACUACAUGUUAACGUGCGAGGAAGAAACUGAGUUAUUGGCCUCUCUGAAAUUCGGGAAAGAAGACGGGUGGCUGUCAGCAUUCUACUCAUGUUUGAUUAGGAAGCAUGAAAAAGAAUAUGUAGUGGAAGCAAAAUUCAAGGAACUUGAACGCGAAUCUUGCAGUAUUUCUCCAAGUUCUGGUCAAAUGAUGAAAAAUAACAUCGAUGUUUUGGCUUGCAAAGCUGAAUACUACCAUCAGAGUGGAGAAUACCAAAAAUGUUUUGAGCUCACAUCUGUUUUACUUGAAAGGGAUCCGUUUCAUUUAAAAUGCACAUUAGUGCAUUUGGCUGCUGCUAUGGAGCUUGGGCAUUCCAAUGAUCUUUAUCUCUUGUCAUGCAAUUUAGUGAAGGACUAUCCUCAAAAAGCUAUUUCCUGGUUUGCUGUGGGGUGCUAUUACUACUGCAUUAAGAAGUAUGAUCAAGCUAGGAGAUACUUUGGCAAAGCUACAGGGUUAGAUGGCACAUUCCCUCCUGCUUGGUUUGGUACUGGUAUUGCUUAUGCUGCUCAAGAGGAGGGUGACCAGGCAAUGGCUGCAUUUAGGACAGCAGCUAGACUAUUUCCUGGAUGUCAUCUCCCAACUUUAUACAUGGGUAUGCAAUACGUGCGAAUGCAUAAUUUCAAACUUGCGGAGCAGUUCUUCAUGCAAGCAAAGUCCAUUUGUCCAUCUGAUCCACUUAUAUAUAAUGAGCUGGGUGUUGUAGCUUAUAAUAUGAAAGAGUAUCAAAAUGCAGUUCAGUGGUUUGAGUUAACACUUACUCAUACUUCAUCGUCCCCGAAUGAAAUGUGGGAACCAACAAUGGUGAAUCUUGGACACGCACUGCGGAAACUGAAGCAAUAUAAGAAAGCAAUAUCAUAUUAUGAAAAGGCGCUCACUUUUCCAACAAAAACUCUGAGUGCAUUUUCUGGUCUUGCUUAUACGUACCAACUUAUGGAUGAUUUUGAAGCUGCCAUAACUUACUACCACAAGGCUCUAUGGUUGAAACCAGACGACCAGUUUUGCACUGACAUGCUAACAUUAGCUCUUGAGACCAGCUGCCAAAGCACCGCUCGGAGAAAAUAG
rnacentral:rRNA from 1 species